GCAGAAAAGGAGUGAGCAGAACCUGGUGGUGAGUAUUUUUCACUGAACACUGGUUUCUCUUCACCUCAAUACGUUAUUGUUUAAAACCAGUAUUUGUUUAAAUCUGACCAAGAAUUUUAAAGGGAAGGACUCACUCAUAUGCCCCUUGAAAUCAAGGAAAUAAUUUCUGAGCAAGGCUAGUGGAAUAGUAGAUGAGCAUUAAAUAAAUUUUAGAGUGUUAAAGGCAUAAGUGCUGGUGUCAGUAGUUUCACUGUGAUGGAGAGCAAAUGGGAUGGUAACCAGCUGAUACACACCUCAACAAGGAGCUCACGGGGGCAGCUAAGAAAUGGUACAGAGCCAUGAGUAGGAACAGUGAUACACACAACACUAUUUAUCUCAGUGUAGCUGAUAUCUACCCAUGAACAAAUCUCUGAAGCCCCCACUGCUUCCAUAUGUCAAGUGAGAAAUGAGUUUCUUCUGAUCCUUCUCUUCAUUUCUGCCUAAAAGUCCCAGCAUGGCUGUGUAUGGGGACACACAUUUUUGGUCUUUUUGUAGGGUUUCACUGUGACUGCAGGGAAGCAAGCUCCAUCUCAUGUCAGGAGACCUACAGGGAGUCAUGCCACGGUGUGAGCUGCUGCAAAGCCAUUCCCAAACACUGCUGGAGCAGCCCCGUCGAGGCAGGUGCCCAUCAUGGAAUGAGAAAGAAUUUGAACCUUGGUAUCAAGGUGUCUUAUCAAUACCUUCUUCUCAGCAAAUCCUCAAACAAAAGCCUGGACUAGAUGACUACAGAGAUCACUUUCAAACAGCACUUCUACGAUACACAAAAUUCCAGAUGGGGACUCCUAAUAGCUGGUGAUGGACCCUGCAAAGUGCUUCAGUGAUGCUUGUGCUAGCAUGUGCGAAGAGCUCCUGUUCAACAGAUCCUGCAGAGUAAAAACACUAUUGUCAACUGCACCUUUCAGUGCUACUACUUUACUGUGUGCAAGGCGUGGUAUUAUAUGUGGACAGUUGCUCAUUUCUAAAAACAUUUCCCCUCAAUCUGAUUAAAAAAAAAAAAAGCCCACCACAACUGUUUAUUGUGGUCUCGUCCUUCGCUACCACCAGAAACAAAGAAAUCUGCAUCUGAUGUGAUCUGGAAUACACCAUGCAUCUAGUAUCUUGCAAAAUGCCACUCUGCAGCCAUCACACACCAAGACAUCAUCAAUCACCAAGACCUCAUCAAUCUCACUGGACUUAAAUCCUAUUGGGACCGCACUAAAAUCAAGGGGAAAAGAAACUACCAUCCAACUGUCCCCUGCAGCUCCUGCCACUUUCUAGCCCUUAAUUAAUCUAGAACAUCUCUACCUCUGCCAGCUCCUCCAGGCUGCAGGGGAACUGACCUCCACUUGGCAGGUUUCUGACUCCUGCUGCUGCAGCACCACAACUGGUCACGAACACAACUCAGCAGUAGAAGCCACUGGCACCUUGUCCAUUCAGAUUGCAAACUCCUGGGGGAAAGAAAGUCACAGCCUGAACACAUAAAGGUCUCUAAGACCUGCUCUGUUGCAAAAGCUUAUUAUGAUCCCCCUGGGAUUUAAUUUAAGACUAAAUUUAGGCUGUUUCCACCAUGACUUACUGCCUUCUCUUAGAACUUCUCAUACAUCCUGCUUUCCUGUGUGUUUGAUACCUCAGACACUUCAGAUGUCCUCUUUUCAGCAUAAUUUAAUAUUUGAUUAUAGUAAAAGAAAGCAUGUGUUGUCUUGAAGAAGAGAAAACUAUCAUCUAGGGAUUUCUCUAAUGCCAAGACAAAAUUAAUCUUUCAUGGCACAGUGGAGUAAAAAUUCAGUCCCAAAAGCAGGUAAUUAAAGAGUUAUUCCCUAGAUGUGAGAAUGACUCCUUAGAAAGAGAAACUUAGAAGUUUUGUUUAAAUUGUUCUGAGAGUACAGCAACUGAUUUAGAGCUAGUAUUUGGUGAAAACCUGCUUGGGGUAGAAGUUCUAGAGAGGAAGAGAAUGAUGUUGUGUCUAGUAUUUGUAAACACGGGUAAAAGUAAUGCUGCACAGAUAUGAAGUCAGAAGUGCACCCCACAACAGGAAAGAGAGAAAAGUCUUCUCAAUGAGGCUUUCCUCAGAUAAAGGCCCUCAUUCAGCAUUAGGCAAGAACUUUCUUGCAAGUUUAUUUCAAACUACUAUCAAAUGACACAUGCAAGGACUGAUCCAACCAACCUGCCAAGAUGACACGGUAUUUUCCAAGGCGACUGAGACAUAUAAAACUUGAAUGCUAAAUCACAGCAGAUCAGAAAUGGGAAGACUCUAGCUCAAUAACCAUUAACUUUCAGGUGGAAAGUGAAUAAAGUUCCAAAGAUGAAAACUUGAUAAGCCA
ensembl:lncRNA